CCCUAGCCAUUCCCUCUCGCUCCCCCCCGCUCUCCUCUCCUCCCUGUCGCCGCCAGCCAUCCUCCCAGCCCCGCCUCUUUUCCUCCCCACAGCCCCCCUCCUCCAGAGAAGCAGCAGGCCCCGCCCGCCGCGCCGCCGCCGCCGUCGCGCGCGACCCUCCUCUCUCGACGCCCGCUCGCACCGACGCAUCCAGGGCUGCUCUGGCUCGCGUGGCGCCUCCACCGCCGGCAGGAGGGGGCCGCAGCGGCCGUCGUGCAGCCCGACGACCAGGAGCGCCUCGCUUGUCCGCGUCCACGCCUUCGGCGGCUCCUACGCCGACGAGCUCGUCUCCACCGCGGUGAGCGCCCCCACGCUGCCCACCAACCCUGCGCCUGCCCUCCCACUCUGAUCCUCGUAGCCUUGCCUAGGUCUAGGAGCCGGUGGCCCGCGGGAGGAUCUCGCCCGUGAGGCGAUCCACGUCUGCGUCAGCAGCUUGUUGAACUGCGAGUACUCCGGGUACGCCGCCAGGAUCUUGGUGAUGUUGUACCCCUCCGCCGCCGCCGCCAGGGCCAGCACCGCCAGCGCCACCGGCAACGUCCGCCGCCGCGCCUCCAUUAUCCUCUCCUCCUUGGUCGGUGCCGCUGCCGUCGGCGUUUGGAGCUUGGCCGCUAGCGCUGGCCGGGGUCGUUUCAGCUCAGCUCGGGAUGGAGUGGGGCGGAAUGGUGGAGAGCACUGAGCUGAGCUGAGCUGAGCAGAGCACCACUGAUGGUGUAAUCCUCCUCAUCCACGACGCCCAUCUCCGGCCAUGGCGACCUCGGAUCUCCGGCCCUGGUUGCUCAGAUGUUGUUGCUGCUGCUGCAGGUGGACGUGGUGAGCUCCAUCCCAUCUUUUUACCCUGCUGAAGCACAUACUGAUCAUGUGGAGUUUUUCGAACUGCCUGCUAUAAAGGUCAGGGAAGAAUAGCACAACAUGGAUUCAUAAACCCACGGUGGGUGGAUGGUGAGCUGUUGGUACUCAAUGGCAAGGUAAAAAAACAUCUGGCGCUUUUGGUUUGCAUUUGCAGCAUCACUGCUAGAAUUCUACUGAAAUAAAUGUCUAAGCAUCACCAUCAUGUAUAAGUUGUGCACGCUAAAAUAGUUGUAUUCAAUUUUGGAGACUUUUAGAGUAUAGUGCUGCCGUUUCCAUUUGGAAGACAUCAAUAUAGUGUUUCCAAUUCCAAGAUUAUAUUUCUGGAUCUAAGUAGCGUAUAUUUCUAGCAUCCUUCUGUGCUAAGAAUUUUAGAGAAAUCUAACUUUGAGAGAAAUAUAGUGUUUCCUAUUUGUAAAACUAUAGAGAUUAUAGAAGUAUUGGAUGCCAGAAUAUAGUGUUUCCAGGAUUGCUUCGGCUAAAGCUUAUAGAUUGUUUUCUAUCAAUGUUAGAUUUGUUUAUUGAUGUCUUCCAAGUACUCAUUUGAUGUCACUUCCUGACUUUUGUAGAGUUUUAUAUCUUGGCAAAAUACUUUGUAAAAGAAAUGAUACGUAAAUAUGAGGUCUCGAAAGUUCUGUGUAUUUUCAGAGCAUGGAAACUAAAUAAACACUUUGAGUCCAUCAUUUUGUGUUUGAAAGCUCUUCAGAUUUUGUUUAUUUGCUACCGUUGGCAUUGGACAUAUUACUCAUGCAGUGAUACAUAUAUCAUAUAUGUGAUGAUUUCUGACUUGACUUAUGCUAUCUCCUUGGUCCUCUGCAUGUUCUGGUUGUUGACAAGCAGGCAAUGUGCCAUGAUGAGAGCAACGCAAGUAAUGGUUGUUUUAGUGUUGCAUAUACAUCACUGAUUGUGUGUAUCUACUUCUCAGUUGGCUGAAUAAUUAGUGGCUCACUAAUUAAACAAGCAUGGAUGCUAGAGCUAAUUUGUAGCCCCCUAAUUUAACAACCCAGGAUGCUAAAACUUUCUACAAUGGAGCUAAUUAAACAAACCAGGAUGCUAGAAUUAAUUAUUUAGUGCCAUUAUCGAAGUCAACUCCAGUUGUGUUAUCGGAAAGCGCUGUAAUCGGAAACGAGACUUUUCCACCCAACCAAACGCGUCGAUAAAUUGUUCUAUGCAACUGAAUGAAGCAACUUAUUAUAGUAUAUGCCUGAUAGCUAUGGCCAUGUAGAUUUUUAUUACCUUUUUUAUUGUGUUCCUCCUUUUGGUACUUCCUCUCUUGUGUUCGUGCUCUUAGUACCGAACUUAACGUCAGGUGGUUACCUUUUGUGGUUUCACGAAUGCGCACUGAACUGAAUGUUGCCUUAAUUCUCAUGAUGAUGUUGAACUCAAUGAUGUUUUGCUCCUAUUACAUGUGAAUGUUUAUUUUUUCCUUUUAGUUUGUUAUAUCCUGUUUGAAUACCCGUGCUAAACCUGGAUUCCUUCUAACUUAGCAUUACUGGUUUUGAUCAACAUGUUGGGACCGCACCCUCGCGCCAAGGUUUAAUGGUUGGUUAUUUCUCCUCUGUUGAACCAUACUCUUUUCCUCGCUGGGCAACCAUAUGUAUGCAGAGAUGCCUAAGAAAUUUGUUAACCAAUUUAUAUGUGUCCUCCAAGAGUGUGGGUUGAUGAUCGUUGCAAGUUUCUGGUCUUUCUCAAGAAGUAUGUCUUCGGGGCGGUGGAGAGUCAAUACAUGAUUAAGUUCACUAGGUAUACAUCUGUUGCAUGGUGGGAGGGUCUAGAAGCAGAAUGUCCUUUCUGCACCUAUGCAUUGACUCCAAUUAAUCAGCUCCCAAGGUCUACAAACAUGCCUGAGCGUUUCACAGAUGUGGCUGGGAUUAUCCCAGUUUUCUUCCUUUUUUCAUGUUGGAAUCAGUGACAAUACCUUGCCGGGGUGGGUACCAGGAGAUGAGUCUCGUGGCGGUGAGCGGAAUGGAGACAAGGAUGGCGACUUGAUGCUUCUCAGAGACCUCCUCUGGAGGUGAAUUUUCUGGGCCUUUUGUUUGCUAUUUCACAGAGUUGUAUCUGCAUGCUCAUGUUGUUCUUCAGCUUAUGUCAUGUAGUUUAGGUUCAUAUAUACACUACUUAAUUAGGUUCAGGAGAUGGUUCGCUGUUGGACGUGUGCUAUGGGAUGUUUUGGUGGUCUGAUGCUUUUAGCCACCGCUCUCGUUCAGGAGGUGCUCCUUUAUCUUGACCAUGACUCUGAUUUUUAGUUAGACACCAUGUUUGCAGAUUCAGUUCCAAAGUCAGGGUACUGUUUUUUAUUUUUUGUAAGCAUUAGUGAGCUGAAAUAUGUAGAGUUUGGAUUGGGGAUAUAAGCAUUGUUAAACUAAAGAAGCCUUUCCAUGCUCAGCAUUAUUGGCGACCUCUCUAAUUUGGAGUUGUGAACCAAUGGGAGAUUCAUCGUUUAAUAUUAUUCUUUAAUCACUAAAUCAUAUAGGAGAUUCCUUUGCUGCCCCAUUAACCAAAUAUUAGUGUUACUAAAAAACUGACAAAAUGUUAUUCUGGUUGCGACUGAGCCCUACUGAGGCAAGGUCGCCCCUUUUAACCGCUUACAUCCUCAAUAGGUGAGUCCCUGGCACCCCUCUCUCUAUUGAUUGAUCCAUAUAUCGCCAGGAAAGAAUGGCUAUCAGUUCAACUACUAUUGGACUAUGAAUUAUUGUUUUUUUAGGGAAAUUAAUUACUCCUUGGAGAAUCAUAGAUCCAUGUUCUAUUUUUGUCAUGUAAGUUAGGUUAUAACUAUGUAGUUACAACCACAUAUUCAGAGUUGCAAUAAAAAACAAUUAAUAAUAGAAACAAGUCAAUUAUGCGACUCGGUUGCGUCUUUCCGCAUAUCAAUCUUGGUUUAGGUCAUUUAUUAUUUGAUCCAGUGAUUGUGUUGAUGGCUUAGUUUCUAUUUCUUCAGAAAGGCACAAAUAGGAUCAACCCUAUCCAAUUAAAGUUUAAUCACCUCACAUAUACAUGCUUUUUUUGAAUAUAUAUAGUUGUAUUCAAUUUGGCUAGGAUGUAAUCCCAGUGCUGCUAAAGUUAUUCCCCAAGAAAUCACAUAUUUGCAGUGUUCUUUUUGAAGAAAUGUCUUCCUGCACAAUACUAUGUAUGGCUAGCUGCUAGCUGUUGAUAUAUAUUGAUUUCUGUCAAAGAGAUUGCAGUUAUAUAAACCUUAAUUAGACAUCUUUGAAGGGAGUUUAGCCAUUCCAUAUUUCUCUUUUGGGCAUGUGUUGGCAUGAGAUUAGUACCAGCGACUGUGGUGGCUUACAUGAGAAGUGUUACAUGUCUUGGCAUGGUUUUAUAUAAGCCAGUAACACCGUUUUAUUUUCUGUCUGUCAUGAUUUAUCAGUUUGGUUGUUAUAAAUCUGUUUUUCAUCAAGCUCAUAUCACUGUUUAUUUGAAUUCCUUGCAUUUGUGAUUAGUUGACGGUAUAAGCCUUAUUUAUCAAGUGAAUUUGUAGACUGAUGUACUUGCAGACUAAUAAUAGUAUUGACAUUUGCUUACUAACUAAUGUCUCUGUAGCAGGCUAAUUUGUGUGUUUUUGGUUGUGGCAGACCAUUUUUAGUCAAAUUGAGAAACAACCGCCUUUUUGUCUUGGCCCAUAACCAGCCGUGAAAGACGAGAUGUUUAUGCUGCCCUUCUACCUUCCUCCUUGUCCCUAUUUUUCCCCAUCGCGUGUUGCGCUCUCUGAAGUAAAAUAAACAGGAAACUGUAUGCUGAAAAGUGGGGUGAUAAAUAUCUAGUUACUAGAUUAACUAAAUUUGUGAUCCCAAUAUUGUGAGCAAAAUAGUGAAAUGUCAGGGUUUGCUCUACUGCAAAUUUGCAGUUUACUUGAACUUUGUUGUGAUGAGCAAUUCUGGUCUGACCAAACUAAUAAAUGCAUGUGCUUUCCAUGUUUUGUUC